rnacentral:rRNA from 1 species
UACGAAGGGGGCUAGCGUUGUUCGGAUUUACUGGGCGUAAAGCGUGCGCAGGCGGCUUUGCAAGACAGAUGUGAAAUCCCCGGGCUUAACCUGGGAACUGCAUUUGUGACUGCAUGGCUAGAGUGCGGCAGAGGGGGAUGGAAUUCCGCGUGUAGCAGUGAAAUGCGUAGAUAUGCGGAGGAACACCGAUGGCGAAGGCAAUCCCCUGGGCCUUACCUGACGCUGAGGAGCGAAAGCGUGGGGAGCGAACAGG